rnacentral:rRNA from 1 species
AACGAACGCUGGCGGCAGGCCUAACACAUGCAAGUCGAACGCCCUCUUCGGAGGGAGUGGCAGACGGGUGAGUAACGCGUGGGAACCUUCCCUAUGGUACGGAAUAACUCAGAGAAAUUUGAGCUAAUACCGUAUAAGCCCUUCGGGGGAAAGAGUUUAUCGCCAUAGGAUGGGCCCGCGUCGGAUUAGCUUGUUGGUGAGGUAAUGGCUCACCAAGGCAACGAUCCGUAGCUGGUCUUAGAGGAUGAUCAGCCACACUGGGACUGAGACACGGCCCAGACUCCUACGGGAGGCAGCAGUGGGGAAUAUUGGACAAUGGGCGCAAGCCUGAUCCAGCCAUGCCGCGUGAGUGACGAAGGCCUUAGGGUUGUAAAGCUCUUUUGGCGGGGACGAUAAUGACGGUACCCGCAGAAUAAGCCCCGGCUAACUUCGUG